GACGAACGCUGGCGGCGUGCCUAAUACAUGCAAGUUGAGCGAUGAAGAUUGGUGCUUGCACCAAUUUGAAGAGCAGCGCACGGGUGAGUAACGCGUGGGGAAUCUGCCUUUGAGCGGGGGACAACAUUUGGAAACGAAUGCUAAUACCGCAUAACAACUUUAAACAUAAGUUUUAAGUUUGAAAGAUGCAAUUGCAUCACUCAAAGAUGAUCCCGCGUUGUAUUAGCUAGUUGGUGAGGUAAAGGCUCACCAAGGCGAUGAUACAUAGCCGACCUGAGAGGGUGAUCGGCCACAUUGGGACUGAGACACGGCCCAAACCCCUACGGGAGGCAGCAGUAGGGAAUCUUCGGCAAUGGACGAAAGUCUGACCGAGCAACGCCGCGUGAGUGAAGAAGGUUGUCGGAUCGUAAAACUCGGUUGGUAGAGAAGAACGUUGGUGAGAGUGGAAAGCUCAUCAAGUGACGGUAACUACCCAGAAAGGGACGGCUAACUACGUG
rnacentral:rRNA from 1 species